UCAGCGAGAUUCAUGCGCACGCAUCUCAUCCCUUCCAAAGAGGAGUUAGUUCGCCCCUCCCUUCAUUUCUUCGUUCCCGCGCAUUUCUCCCUAUAUAAAGGCGAGGUCAUCCACCUGAGAGUCAGUUGAUCGGCCCGACGGCCAGUGUGGCUGGAUUCCGCCCACUGGUCAUAGGACGAUCAUAGGGGGAGCGGCAGAACGACUGGCUAUCCGUCUUCUGCAGCUCGCACCCCUCCUUCGCGGUUAGGCCAGCCGAGGACCUAUCUCGGCCUAGGGAAUUUGUCUCCCUUCCCCCUCCCCUUUCUGGAUGAUAGGGUGUACCGUGUGUUUCAAUUCAGUGUAUGUUGUAAAAGCCGAUGCAGGCAACAAAUUGAACUGUUUCUACAAUUCAGGUCAAUAAAAGUUCCGUGAAAAUACCGACAGUAUUCUUCAAUGUAUAGCCUAGCUCCAUCCCUCACCCCACUAGCUAUUCGCCUGCAUACCAGCCGCUUGGACCUUCUCCACCCGAUACCUGGCUCUCCACCCAAGAGAGACAUCGGUGAGAAGAAGACAGCACGUCAUUCUUUGGCGCCCAACGUGGGGCCAGACCAGCAGCUCGACCUCCUCCACCCCUGCUGGCUCUCUGUCAAGAGGGCUCGGUGCGGUGAGAGGAUUACUACAAGUUGGCGCCCAACGUGGGGCCAGACCAGCAGCUCGACCUCCUCCACCCCUGCUGGCUCUCUGUCAAGAGGGCUCGGUGCGGUGAGAGGACAACUCCGUCAUAGUUUGCAGCCAGAGGAGCACAGAAGACCAGCGUUUCUCUACGAGACUGGUGUGAAGAGCUGGCAGAAGGCACAUCCGAACAAAUACAGAACCGUCCAGGAUGCCUCGUUUCACAAGCGCCGCCACCUGGGAACAAUUGGACAAGUAACAGGGUUGCAAACCUGUCACUGAAGCAAAAGACAUACAGCAAUCUGAAGCAAGAUACCUGGCUGCUGUUGAAAUGUAGCAAGUGUUUUCCUGCUGCGAUGAACUCACAAAUCUGGUGAAGUUGUCCCUCUGAGCAUCGGGCCAGUCACAGUGCCGUGCCACCAGCUCCAGGUAGACGCGCAGCAGGAGGGGGCCCCCCUCUGCACACGGCAGGUCGCAGGCGACGCCCAGC